CUAGACUCCCUUCCUGGUUGUGCAGAUGGCUGUUGUCUGGGACGGUGAUCUCUCACUAAGUGUCUCCUGUUCACCUACCAAACCUGUGAAGAUGACCGCCUCAGAUCCCAGCCCUGUCUUCAGGACCUGAGCCCCAGGGCUCUUCCUAGUGUUCCAUCAACUUGACGGACAGGCCCUCUGAUGGGAGCAGCCAGAGGGCCACAAGUCCCGUCCUGCUCCUGUGACUCACUCUUACCUAGAACGGACCAACCCUGAGUCACUAGCAAAUGCCGUGUGAACCUGGGAUGCCUGUUCCAGUUGGAGGACAUAAAGCGACCCAGUUUGACUAUCUGUGAAAAUAACUGAAAAUGAAGUUUAGGAAACACGUGCUGCUUCCAGUGAAUUCAAACAGAUGCUCAUUUAAUUAGUAUUUGGUUUAAUCUUAAUGAGAGGAAUCUAAAAGUGGUUUCUGCUUCUCUACAAUAUGGACACAGAAAUUAAUUUGAAAGCAUGCACCUCUAGCAAAGUCAACUACAUUGAUACCUGUGAACUGAAGGAGGAUACAGAAGUGAACUUCCCAGCACACACUCUCUCAACAUUGAAGCAUUGCUUGGAAAGUUAACAAAGACAAGCACCUGGCACAUCUCCACGAGUAAAGCUGUCUUUAAAACUGGAGCAGUGUACAAUUCCGUCCACUUGUGGGUGCAAGGAUCAUUUUGCUUAUUUUUAUUCUCUUUUAAAAAGGUGCCUCUGUUUUUAUUGAUGGCAGAUGUUUUUGUGUGUGGACAGGGAUUGAACCCUAGCCUCUCAUUCAUGCCAGGCAAGCAAGCACUCUACAACUGAGCUACCGUUCCUGGACUGCUGCUUUGGUUACUGGUGUGGGGUGAGGAGAAUGAGGCUCCAAGCAUCUCUGAAUGGAACUGACAUGCCACCUGGCCACCACUGCGUCCAGGCACAGGAGGGAACAGAUUUGGGCUGGGCAUCACAAGCUGCAGUCAACUCUCAUAGCUGCUGCUGUUGCAUUGUGUGGUCCUGGGCAAGUCAUUCAUUUGAAACACACAUGCACACACACACACACACACACAUACACACGCACACGCAUGCACACACACAA